rnacentral:rRNA from 1 species
AUACGGAGGAUCCGAGCGUUAUCCGGAUUUAUUGGGUUUAAAGGGUGCGCAGGCGGAAGAUUAAGUCGGUGGUGAAAUUUUGCAGCUCAACUGUAAAAGUGCCAUUGAUACUGGUUUUCUUGAGUGUGGAUGAAGUAGGCGGAAUUUGUGGUGUAGCGGUGAAAUGCAUAGAUAUCACGAGGAACUCCGAUUGCGCAGGCAGCUUACGAAACCAUAACUGACGCUCAGGCACGAAGGCGUGGGGAUCAAACAGGAUUAGAUACCCUGGUAGUCCACGCAGUAAACUAUGAUUACUCGCUGUUUGCGAUACACAGCAAGCGGCUUAGCGAAAGCGUUAAGUAAUCCACCUGGGGAGUACGUUCGCAAGAAUGAAACUCAAAGGAAUUGACGGGG